rnacentral:snRNA from 1 species
UUACCUUCUCAGCGUUUUGGCUAAGAUCAAGUGUAGUAUCUGUAGCAUCCUAACUGGUAGAAUUUUAUUCUCACUUUUUGAAUGUCACUUCACUUUUU